UAGGGAAUCUUCGGCAAUGGGGGGAACCCUGACCGAGCAACGCCGCGUGAGUGAAGAAGGUUUUCGGAUCGUAAAGCUCUGUUGUUAAGGAAGAACGAGUGUGAGAAUGGAAAGUUCAUACUGUGACGGUACUUAACCAGAAAGGGACGGCUAACUACGUGCCAGCAGCCGCGGUAAUACGUAGGUCCCGAGCGUUGUCCGGAUUUAUUGGGCGCAAAGCGAGCGCAGGCGGUUAGAUAAGUCUGAAGUUAAAGGCAGUGGCUCAACCAUUGUAGGCUUUGGAAACUGUUUAACUUGAGUGCAGAAGGGGAGAGUGGAAUUCCAUGUGUAGCGGUGAAAUGCGUAGAUAUAUGGAGGAACACCGGUGGCGAAAGCGGCUCUCUGGUCUGUAACUGACGCUGAGGCUCGAAAGCGUGGGGAGCGAACAGGAUUAGAUACCCUGGUAGUCCACGCCGUAAACGAUGAGUGCUAGGUGUUAGGUCCUUUCCGGGACUUAGUGCCGCAGCUAACGCAUUAAGCACUCCGCCUGGGGAGUACGACCGCAAGGUUG
rnacentral:rRNA from 1 species